rnacentral:lncRNA from 1 species
AGGUAUCCUGAGUUUAGGAUUCCCCAGCUGUAUGUGUUGAUUGCCUCACACAAACCAACUGUAUGUGAAAGAUCCACCAGGGCCCUUCAGUAUUACCCUCUAGGAUUUGGAAGGCAAGAGGCAAUAUGAUUCAGCACAGACAUGAUGCCCAUGCUGCUUGCUGUACUGUGAGUCAUAAAGUCCUUGUCUCUGAACCAGGAGUCUCACGUCUUCUGCUAGCAACCAAGAAACUAUGGCAGGCUAAUUUGUUCAUGUCCAAAUAGGAUAAAAAUCUCAGACAUAUUGCAGUUCUUCACAAUCCUUCCCCAUUAAUUUGCUUAUAUUUUUUAUGGGUUUCCUUCCUAGGGGCAUCUAUGUAAAUCAUUUGGAGUUUUUGCCUUUCCUCUUAGAAGAAAAAUAUGAAUGAUUUGACUGAACAGGCCUAUAGCCAAACCCAAGAUGAUCUUUCCAAGCGUGAACUCCAUCUUCAAACUUCUAAUCUUAAACCUUAAAGAAGAAACUAUGGCAAUGUCUCUUCCACCACUCUUGACUAGCAUGAUGUGUUGCCAAAAGACUUCAGAUCAUAAGUGCGAAAUAAAAAAUCAAAAAUUGACUGCAUCUUUUCUCAUUGCUCAACAACUGUCAAACAACUGAGAAAUUUGUUUUGGAUGAAGCAGUAACAUUCCUUCUUCCACUCCCAGCCCCAUUCCACGUAGUCUGCAGUUCCUCACUGACCACUGAUUGAUGUCAACGUGCAAACUCUCAGACAGAAGACAAGAAAUAUGUCCUGGGUUUUCUGGUUCCUCAAGCUUCUGACUAGGACCAGAGCCAGCAAUUACACACACUUAUCCCUAUUCUUUCCAUGAAUGCAGAGAAAGAAAGACCUUCUUGGGCUGUAAGAAAUACUCUAUUCCUCACACAUAAUAACUAAGGCUCAGCAGCUUGUAAAAAGGCAUGGUCCAGGGCAUGUCAGGACAAGGAAGAGCGGUAAGUUGUUUCUCUGUCUUUCCUCUGUAUUCUUUCAUAAUUGGGACAAGGCCUCAGCUGACAAGGAGCUGGCAGAACACUGGGGACAGCUGGUAUGUAAGAACCAACACCGUCCCAUCAGUCAUUUAUUCAACACAUGUUUAUUGAGUAUCUGCAACGUGACUGCACCGUUAUAGAGUCUGCAUUGUUGUAGGUCCUGAGAAAAAAACUGCAAAGCAAAAGUACACACAGGCUUGCCCUCCUGAAAUGUACAGUCAGGUGGAGAUGGCAGAUAUUAAGAAACUAACUUGUGCUAUUGAAGUUUAAAAGAAAGGGAUCUUACUGAGUCUGAGGAGAGGGAUGAAUCAAUGCAGACUUCCUAGAAGAACUGGCAUAUAAACCAAGAACUGAAAGAGGAAUAGACAUUAAACCAGAAAACAGAAUGGAAGAAAAAUAGAUUUACGAUG